UACGGAGGGUGCAAGCGUUAAUCGGAAUUACUGGGCGUAAAGCGUGCGCAGGCGGUUUUGCAAGUCAGGUGUGAAAGCCCCGGGCUCAACCUGGGAAUUGCGCUUGAUACUGCGGCGCUGGAAGGUGGGAGAGGAUGGCGGAAUUCCCAGUGUAGAGGUGAAAUUCGUAGAUAUUGGGAAGAACACCGGUGGCGAAGGCGGCCAUCUGGCCCAUUUUUGACGCUGAGGCGCGAAAGCGUGGGGAGCAAACAGG
rnacentral:rRNA from 1 species